rnacentral:misc_RNA from 1 species
UUGAAGUUUCUUGCAAUUGCCUCUCUAUUUUCUUCUCUCCUUCACGGCAAAAGCUGAAAUUUCUUCCAUUCUUGCAUCAAACAAGAAGCUUGACUUAGGCUUUUGGGCAAAAACACAAAUGACACAACUAUACCGUGAAGAUCCUUCAGCAUCAAUUGAAGCGUUAUACUCACUUGCUUGACAUGGGUGUGCUAGAAAGUACACUGGUUGCAUUGUGAAUGGAGUGAGGUUUCUAACCAAGGAACGUGAUAAUCACCAUAGAAGUCAAAAUAAUGGGAUUGUAGUUGAAGGAAACCAUGGUGAUGAGGUCAUCAAUUUUUAUAGGGUGUUAAAUGAAAUUAUUCAACUAGACUAUGUGAAAAAUAAAC